AGCUUCUUCAGCAUUGAUAAUGAACAGUUUGAUGCAUACCCGGUACAUGUUAAAAUUCUUCCAAAUAAAUUGAGGUUUUUCAUCAAUGAGGAAACAAAUCAGACAAGGUGACCAUGGAGAAAUGCAGAUAGUAAACAACAAAGAUUGACGUAAUCUGGGUCAGCUGUGCUCACAAUGCUAAUAACAUGGACAGAACACCAACUGAUUACAUGUCUUGUUGAGGUUCCUUGUGGCAGUAUAUCAGACAGCAACAAUGCAACUCGAUUUGUUCCGUUAUUACUCUCAAUUUAUUGCCUCCAAUAAUUCUAUUUCAGUUCAUUGGUAUCGAUUUAUUGCAUAAUAGAACUGUGUGGAUAAAGAAUAUUUAUUAUUUUAUAAUCAUUAAAAUGAUGUGAAAGAAGAUACAUUGUUGAAUUAUUUAUUUGUAUAGGUGUAAUUUUUGCCCUACCUGACGUGGAAAUGUACCGAAUACUCAGUAGGGCUGAGGUCAGGUAGGGAAAAAAUUACACCUAUACAUGUUUCUCCUGUCGCAAAACCAGUUAUUGUCUAUUAUUCCACCACGACAUUAACAAUUACUAAGAAUUAUUUAUUAUUGUCAAAAGUAAUUAAAAAUACUACAUUUUUAAGCAUAUUUUACUUAUAAAUUGUGCUCUAACUAAUGUGUACAAUUAAAUGGAAUGUAUUACAGUACCUGAACAAUACCUAUGAUAGUUUGUCUGGAAUGUAUACAAAUUAUGUUGGAUAAUACUUGACAGCAUUUUAAAUAAGAAUGCUUGCUCCAAAGCUAGUGAAUGUUUAUGGUUCAACC